GGAAAUCCUCUUCACCAUCAGGAGAGGCUGCAUAUCUGGAAAAGAGAAAGCAUGCUUUCUGAUUGAACCCUAUUUUAUUGCAACCAUCAGAGGUUUUCUUCUCUCUUCUCUGGGUUGGGCAAUCAGCUACAUCAGAGAGGUUACUCAAUGUGAAGAUGACAACAAGGGUGAAGACUUUAAUGAUGAUCCACUUCCACUUAAAAAAUAAUAAAUAUAUUUUCU
rnacentral:lncRNA from 1 species